rnacentral:tRNA from 1 species
GUUCCCGUAGCUCAAUUGGAUAGAGCGUUGCCCUCCGGAGGCAAAGGUUGCAGGUUCGAAUCCUGCCGGGAAUA